rnacentral:rRNA from 1 species
AGAACGAACGCUGGCGGCAGGCCUCAAACAUGCAAGUCUAGGGGGUGUAGCAAUACAUCACCGGCGGACGGGUGCGUAACACGUGGGAAUAUACCUUUUGGUUCGGAACAACGCAGGGAAACUUGCGCUAAUACCGAAUGUGCCCUUACGGGGAAAGAUUUAUCGCCAAAGGAUUAGCCCGCGUAGGAUUAGCUAGUUGGUGAGGUAAUGGCUCACCAAGGCUCCGAUCCUUAGCUGUUCUGAGAGGAAGAUCAGCCACACUGGGACUGAGACACGGCCCAGACUCCUACGGGAGGCAGCAGUUGGGAAUCUUGGACAAUGGGGGAAACCCUGAUCCAGCCAUGCCGCGUGAGUGAUGAAGGCCUUCGGGUUGUAAAACUCUUUCGACGGGGACGAGUAAUGACGGUACCCGUAGAAGAAGCUCCGGCUAACUUCGUGCCAGCCAGCCGC